rnacentral:rRNA from 1 species
GAGACAGGUGGUGCAUGGUUGUCGUCAGCUCGUGUCGUGAGAUGUUGGGUUAAGUCCCGCAACGAGCGCAACCCUUACUGUCAGUUACUACGCAAGAGGACUCUGGCAGGACUGCCGUUGACAAAACGGAGGAAGGUGGGGAUGACGUCAAAUCAUCAUGCCCUUUAUGACUUGGGCUACACACGUACUACAAUGGCGUUAAACAAAGAGAAGCAAGACCGCGAGGUGGAGCAAAACUCAGAAACAACGUCCCAGUUCGGACUGCAGGCUGCAACUCGCCUGCACGAAGUCGGAAUUGCUAGUAAUCGUGGAUCAGCAUGCCACGGUGAAUACGUUCCCGGGCCUUGUACACACCGCCCGUCACACCAUGAGAGCCGGGGGGACCCGAAGUCGGUAGUCUAACCCGCAAGGAGGACGCCGCCGAAGGU